AGAAUGUUGUUCGUACUUGUAUGAUUACAAUAUUUGGAAUUACUUUUGGAGUGUUUUAUUUCGAAAUUCACAUCUUAUUUAUCUUUCGUUUAUAAAAAUUAAGCAGGCAUUGACAUUCAUUUGACAUUCGAUUCUUUUCAAUUUGUCAUUUUUAAUACAUUUCAAGACGCAUAAAUUUUAUCAAAUUUUUUUAUAAUAAUAUUUAAUU